GGUAGGGUAGUUCAGAGGUACAGCACUUGCCUAGCACGUAAGAGACCCUGGGUUCUAACCCCAGCAUCA
rnacentral:tRNA from 1 species